CACGUAGGGUGCGAGCGUUGUCCGGAAUUAUUGGGCGUAAAGAGCUCGUAGGCGGUGUGUCGCGUCGGCCGUGAAAACCUGCAGCUUAACUGUGGGCUUGCGGUCGAUACGGGCAUCACUGGAGUUCGGCAGGGGAGACUGGAAUUCCUGGUGUAGCGGUGAAAUGCGCAGAUAUCAGGAGGAACACCCGGUGGCGAAGGCGGGCUC
rnacentral:rRNA from 1 species